CUGACAGAGUGCUGGAUAUAAACAUUUAAAGACAACAUGAUUUUUUGCAUGUCUGGAUAUAUAGCACUGCGAACUUUCAUAAUAUUUAUCUUUAUUCCUUGUGCAAAUUUUCAGGGUUGUGAUGGAAAUCAUGGUUGUUGCUCGGGAUCAGCAUGGAAUGAAGCAUCACAAAUAUGUUUGCCAUGCAUGGAUGGAUAUGUUGGACUUAACUGCAACAAGACCUGUCUGUAUCCAAAAUAUGGUUUUAGAUGCCAGCAGAAUUGCAACUGUUAUCAGAUUAACUGCCAUGUAUCAACAGGCUGUGUUUUUCUUCUCACUAGUGGGUUUAAACUU